AUGUCAGAAAAUGGAGGGCCUCAUGCCAUUUGGAGACCUGCUCAUUAUCCGUUCUUACAAUUUAAUGAUAUAUGUGUCUAUUACCGAGGAGAAGUAGAGGAUCUACUCAGGAACUCUGUGAGAUUGAUUGACUGGAAAAACGCAUAAAGGCUUAAACUAUCUUACAUCAUCUGCCAUGCAUACAGGACACUUUCUCUGCUAUGUGAAAAACUCUGAGCAACUGGAGACAGUGAAAAUAUGUAAAUGGGACUGGGCUGAUUUCAAGGAGAUGACAUGUGGGUUCUGAAUGUGUUCGGCAAACCAGGAAAUCACAUCCUUCCCAUUCCAGGAACCAGGACCUCAUGAGCGAACUUCGCUCUGGAGAAACCUAGUGAGAUGUGAGAACAACUUGUGCAAUAAAAUCAGUGGGGAAUGGAUAUCAAAGUGUACAGCAACAUACUCAGCUGUCCCCAGAUGUUCAGAUACCAAGAAGAUGACAAUGAGGAGCCUGGGAGAUGGCAUUCCUUGAACCUCAACAACUCCAACAGUCUCACAAGCAUUCAAAUGGGUUAGAGGAGAGUUUGCUCUUGUAUUUCUUCCUGUAAUAGCACACACAUAUCAGACCAAUGUUUUACACCUCUUCAACACACACAGUGGCUGAAAUGGAUAAUUUGGAAAAGAGACGGAUGGCAACAAGUGUGAGUGUGGAACACUAAUCCUUAGCUGAUUCCACAAAAGUCGUAUACUAUUUAUUCAAUAGUAAGUGAGAAUGAAGCAAGGGUCUGCCCAUAUGAGAGGGCCGGAAGUGGAAGGACUGUCAUGGAUUUCAUCUGAAUCAGUUUGCAUUCACAUGUCUUUGGUUUAAUUCUUAGGGAGCCCCAAGUGGAGCCAGGAGAUGGGCUCAGUGAUCUUCGGGGACAUUCUGUGAUUCUGUGAUUCUCCACCUAUUAGGCAUAAAUUGAAAUGGCACUGAGAACCACAGUAAAGUUCAGCAAAUUGCACAGGGAAUUGGUUUUCAUCCAUCAGUUAGGAAAGAAAAGCUUGCAGGCCAAAAGAGAUCAGAAGUCUGUACGUUGUGCUGUGUUGCCAGCAUCAGCCACUGGCAGAUCGCAAUUCAGAAGAUGAAACAGUUUGCAGUGUAAAGACAGGGAGUGUUAACUGAGAAUCUUAAAAUGAAACGUAACUGUGUAGUUAAUAGCCUUAUGACAGGGCAAAGCAGAACAAAAUACGGAACAAGAAAGGACAUCUCCCAUGCUUCUUACUACAGGAAACAAACUUUCACUAUCGAUGACAAUAGCUAUUGUAGAAGAAGAUGGAUGGCAUUGACACAGUAUGUGAUUACUAAGAUAGAUUUUCUUGGUCAAGCCAAAUAUUUUUGAUUGAAGAAGAAAUAAAUAUAUUUUUCACUUCAUGUUAUAGCUGCUGUUGUCUGAAACCCAGUGGGGAAAAACAAUUGUAAAAACAUAUUUUGUUUUCCUGAUUAUUUUCCAAAGGAACUCUGAACAAAACACAUUCAGGAGUUGAAAAAUCCAACUGGCUCUGAUGUUUCCUGUUUUCCUGGAUUGCAGCAGUGCUGAUAGUCAGAUACGGCAUGAGAAGGGUGUGGGAAAUGGCAGCAGAACAUACCCUGCCCUGUCUUGGAACAUGAGGAACUUCACCUGUGCUCAAAGAGAAGAUCGAGGAAAACUGGCAGAGGGAGGAAGCGUAUCUGGAGUGUUUUGGCUGUCGUGUAAAAUUUAAAAGAAUGUAUAAAUCCAUUGCAAAGGCUGUGUUUUGUAACAAUCUCCUUCCGUGAAUUUUGCUGGUUUCUGAAAUUCCCCAUCUGCAAACUUCUAUUAUAUUCUUCUCAGUUCUUCCCUGA